rnacentral:rRNA from 1 species
GACGAACGCUGGCGGCGUGCCUAACACAUGCAAGUCGAACGGGGUAAAGAGCUUCGGUUUUUUACUUAGUGGCGAACGGGUGAGUAACGCGUGAGGAACCUGCCUUCCAGUGGGGGACAACAGUUGGAAACGACUGCUAAUACCGCAUAAUGUACACGGACCGCAUGACCUGUGUACCAAAGCUUUAUGUGCUGGAAGAUGGCCUCGCGUCUGAUUAGCUAGUUGGUGAGGUAACGGCUCACCAAGGCGACGAUCAGUAGCCGGUCUGAGAGGAUGAACGGCCACAUUGGGACUGAGAUACGGCCCAGACUCCUACGGGAGGCAGCAGUGGGGAAUAUUGGGCAAUGGGGGAAACCCUGACCCAGCAACGCCGCGUGAAGGAAGAAGGCCUUCGGGUUGUAAACUUCUUUUACCAGGGACGAAGAACGUGACGGUACCUGGAGAAAAAGCAACGGCUAACUACGUGCCAGCCGCCGCGGUAAGAC